rnacentral:rRNA from 1 species
GGUUAAGCGACUAAGCGUACACGGUGGAUGCCCUGGCAGUCAGAGGCGAUGAAGGACGUGCUAAUCUGCGAUAAGCGUCGGUAAGGUGAUAUGAACCGUUAUAACCGGCGAUUUCCGAAUGGGGAAACCCAGUGUGUUUCGACACACUAUCAUUAACUGAAUCCAUAGGUUAAUGAGGCGAACCGGGGGAACUGAAACAUCUAAGUACCCCGAGGAAAAGAAAUCAACCGAGAUUCCCCCAGUAGCGGCGAGCGAACGGGGAGCAGCCCAGAGCCUGAAUCAGUAUGUGUGUUAGUGGAAGCGUCUGGAAAGGCGCGCGAUACAGGGUGACAGCCCCGUACACAAAAAUGCACAUAUUGUGAGCUCGAUGAGUAGGGCGGGACACGUGGUAUCCUGUCUGAAUAUGGGGGGACCAUCCUCCAAGGCUAAAUACUCCUGACUGACCGAUAGUGAACCAGUACCGUGAGGGAAAGGCGAAAAGAACCCCGGCGAGGGGAGUGAAAAAGAACCUGAAACCGUGUACGUACAAGCAGUGGGAGCACGCUUAGGCGUGUGACUGCGUACCUUUUGUAUAAUGGGUCAGCGACUUAUAUUCUGUAGCAAGGUUAACCGAAUAGGGGAGCCGAAGGGAAACCGAGUCUUAACUGGGCGUUAAGUUGCAGGGUAUAGACCCGAAACCCGGUGAUCUAGCCAUGGGCAGGUUGAAGGUUGGGUAACACUAACUGGAGGACCGAACCGACUAAUGUUGAAAAAUUAGCGGAUGACUUGUGGCUGGGGGUGAAAGGCCAAUCAAACCGGGAGAUAGCUGGUUCUCCCCGAAAGCUAUUUAGGUAGCGCCUCGUGAAUUCAUCUCCGGGGGUAGAGCACUGUUUCGGCAAGGGGGUCAUCCCGACUUACCAACCCGAUGCAAACUGCGAAUACCGGAGAAUGUUAUCACGGGAGACACACGGCGGGUGCUAACGUCCGUCGUGAAGAGGGAAACAACCCAGACCGCCAGCUAAGGUCCCAAAGUCAUGGUUAAGUGGGAAACGAUGUGGGAAGGCCCAGACAGCCAGGAUGUUGGCUUAGAAGCAGCCAUCAUUUAAAGAAAGCGUAAUAGCUCACUGGUCGAGUCGGCCUGCGCGGAAGAUGUAACGGGGCUAAACCAUGCACCGAAGCUGCGGCAGCGACGCUUAUGCGUUGUUGGGUAGGGGAGCGUUCUGUAAGCCUGCGAAGGUGUGCUGUGAGGCAUGCUGGAGGUAUCAGAAGUGCGAAUGCUGACAUAAGUAACGAUAAAGCGGGUGAAAAGCCCGCUCGCCGGAAGACCAAGGGUUCCUGUCCAACGUUAAUCGGGGCAGGGUGAGUCGACCCCUAAGGCGAGGCCGAAAGGCGUAGUCGAUGGGAAACAGGUUAAUAUUCCUGUACUUGGUGUUACUGCGAAGGGGGGACGGAGAAGGCUAUGUUGGCCGGGCGACGGUUGUCCCGGUUUAAGCGUGUAGGCUGGUUUUCCAGGCAAAUCCGGAAAAUCAAGGCUGAGGCGUGAUGACGAGGCACUACGGUGCUGAAGCAACAAAUGCCCUGCUUCCAGGAAAAGCCUCUAAGCAUCAGGUAACAUCAAAUCGUACCCCAAACCGACACAGGUGGUCAGGUAGAGAAUACCAAGGCGCUUGAGAGAACUCGGGUGAAGGAACUAGGCAAAAUGGUGCCGUAACUUCGGGAGAAGGCACGCUGAUAUGUAGGUGAAGUCCCUCGCGGAUGGAGCUGAAAUCAGUCGAAGAUACCAGCUGGCUGCAACUGUUUAUUAAAAACACAGCACUGUGCAAACACGAAAGUGGACGUAUACGGUGUGACGCCUGCCCGGUGCCGGAAGGUUAAUUGAUGGGGUUAGCCGCAAGGCGAAGCUCUUGAUCGAAGCCCCGGUAAACGGCGGCCGUAACUAUAACGGUCCUAAGGUAGCGAAAUUCCUUGUCGGGUAAGUUCCGACCUGCACGAAUGGCGUAAUGAUGGCCAGGCUGUCUCCACCCGAGACUCAGUGAAAUUGAACUCGCUGUGAAGAUGCAGUGUACCCGCGGCAAGACGGAAAGACCCCGUGAACCUUUACUAUAGCUUGACACUGAACAUUGAGCCUUGAUGUGUAGGAUAGGUGGGAGGCUUAGAAGUGUGGACGCCAGUCUGCAUGGAGCCGACCUUGAAAUACCACCCUUUAAUGUUUGAUGUUCUAACGUUGACCCGUAAUCCGGGUUGCGGACAGUGUCUGGUGGGUAGUUUGACUGGGGCGGUCUCCUCCUAAAGAGUAACGGAGGAGCACGAAGGUUGGCUAAUCCUGGUCGGACAUCAGGAGGUUAGUGCAAUGGCAUAAGCCAGCUUGACUGCGAGCGUGACGGCGCGAGCAGGUGCGAAAGCAGGUCAUAGUGAUCCGGUGGUUCUGAAUGGAAGGGCCAUCGCUCAACGGAUAAAAGGUACUCCGGGGAUAACAGGCUGAUACCGCCCAAGAGUUCAUAUCGACGGCGGUGUUUGGCACCUCGAUGUCGGCUCAUCACAUCCUGGGGCUGAAGUAGGUCCCAAGGGUAUGGCUGUUCGCCAUUUAAAGUGGUACGCGAGCUGGGUUUAGAACGUCGUGAGACAGUUCGGUCCCUAUCUGCCGUGGGCGCUGGAGAACUGAGGGGGGCUGCUCCUAGUACGAGAGGACCGGAGUGGACGCAUCACUGGUGUUCGGGUUGUCAUGCCAAUGGCACUGCCCGGUAGCUAAAUGCGGAAGAGAUAAGUGCUGAAAGCAUCUAAGCACGAAACUUGCCCCGAGAUGAGUUCUCCCUGACUCCUUGAGAGUCCUGAAGGAACGUUGAAGACGACGACGUUGAUAGGCCGGGUGUGUAAGCGCAGCGAUGCGUUGAGCUAACCGGUACUAAUGAACCGUGAGGCUUAACCUU